CAAGGUCAAAAUCUAGAUCACAUAAUAGGUCAAAUAAUAGAAAAACCUUGUGUAGACAAUAGAGGUCGCAGUUUUCAUCCAAUCUUUAUGAAAUUUGGUCAGAAUGUUUAUCUUGAUGAAAUCUGGGUUGGGAAUGUAUUUGGGUCAUCUGGGGUCAAAAACUAGGUCACUAGGUCAAAUAAUAGAAAAACCUUGUGUAGACAAUAGAGGUCGCAGUUUUCAUCCAAUCUUUAUGAAAUUUGGUCAGAAUGUUUAUCUUGAUGAAAUCUGGGUUGGGAUUGUAUUUGGGUCAUCUGGGGUCAAAAACUAGGUCACUAGGUCAAAUAAUAGAAAAACCUUGUGUAGACAAUAGAGGUCGCAGUUUUCAUCCAAUCUUUAUAAAAUUUGGUCAGAAUGUUUAUCUUGAUGAAAUCUGGGUUGAGAUUGUAUUUGUCUCAUCUGGGGUCAAAAACUAGGUCAAAUAAUAGAAAAACCUUGUGUAGACAAUAGAGGUCACAGUUUUCAUCUAAUCUUUAUGAAAUUUGGUCAGAAUGUUUAUCUUGAUGAAAUCAGGGUUGGGAUUGUAUUUAGUUAGUCAGGUGAGCGAUUCAGGGCCAUCAUGGCCCUCU